CCUCAUUAGGCAACAGCCUUUUCUGAUUGAAAAUAGAUCAGAAAAGAAAGAAAAAUAGCCAGUGGGUUGAGAGCAGGAUAUUGCCUUCACGAGCUAUUGCAACCAAAACAACAUGUGGCCCCCAUUUGCAGCAGUAGCGGGAACGAUGAAAGCAAGGACCGGGGGCUGCCAGGAAGAUAAAGUUUCCUUUUAAGUACUUACGUCAAGGAAUCAGCGGCCUCCAUUUACGGGAGCGGUGACAGCGAUGACCGGGGGAAGCUUUGUAAUUGAAGAAUGCAACCAGGAGUUAACCUGAAGGAGCUGUGUAAUUUUAAUGACGUUGAGUUAAGACAUGAGAUGGAGAUAUGCAUUCUUAUGAGUGCCACCUUCACUCAUUUGACUGUGGUAUUAAAGAAUUGAUGAUGGAACUUUAUUCUUAAAAGAUAAGUGACCAGUACAAUGACCAGUAUUGUCAGAGUGGUCAGCUAUAAAGACUUUGUUGAUGGAGUUGUGCUUGGCAGAUUUCCAAAUUGACCAAUGGAUUUAAUUCAGCAGGGGUUGUCGACACAGCAAUCAAGGGGACUGUAAGCUUUGCUACGAUUAACAGAUUCAAGCAGCAAAUAGAAGACUGCAACUUUUGUGAAAUUUGUGAAUGGCUUGAAGAAAAACAGUUUUAUAAAGGGUGCUGAUGAAUUUUUAGUCCAUAGAGGAUUAAAGUUUC